rnacentral:tRNA from 1 species
GGAGGGUUGGGUGAGUGGUUUAAACCAGCGCUCUGCUAAGGCGCCGGCCCUUCGGGGUCCGUCAGUUCGAAUCUGACACCCUCCA